AUGCCUGCCUCUGUUGUGGCUCAACUUAUUGCUGAUGGGGAGGAUGUUUCUGCUCAUGUUGUUGUGCUAGUUGGAGUGAUAUCAGAACAGGGACAUAGGGCUUACUUUGCACUAGAUUCAGCAGGAACAGCCUUUUGCAGGCAGGUGGGAAGUGCUGAAGGGUGGCGAUCUUUGUUCAACUGGAACAAAAAGAGUCAACUCGGAGGAUAUGGAAAAAUCACCGCCGAUAGUGCUUGGUUCACUAAUUUCUUCAAGGUUUCUAGACAGAAUGAUCAUGGGCUGCCUCCUAAACUCUUUGUUGCUAAUCAUGACCCUGAUGAUUAUCUUGUGGAUAACAUACCGACUGAUUUGACCAUCACCCCACAAGAAGAAGGGGACAUCAUCCUUGCUGCACGUAACAGGCGGUAUGUCUUUCAUGGAAGGUACUUGAGGCGUCGUUUUCGUCAGUUAUGGUAUUGA
rnacentral:rRNA from 1 species